GAUGAACGCUAGCGGCAGGCCUAACACAUGCAAGUCGAGGGGUAGAGGAAGCUUGCUUCCUUGAGACCGGCGCACGGGUGCGUAACGCGUAUGCAAUCUACCUUAUACAGAGGGAUAGCCCAGAGAAAUUUGGAUUAAUACCUCAUAGUAUUAUGAAAUCGCAUGGUUUUAUAAUUAAAGUUCCAACGGUAUAAGAUGAGCAUGCGUCCCAUUAGUUAGUUGGUAAGGUAACGGCUACCAAGACAAUGAUGGGUAGGGGUCCUGAGAGGGAGAUCCCCCACACGGGUACUGAGACACGGACCAGACUCCUACGGGAGGCAGCAGUGAGGAAUAUUGGUCAAUGGACGCAAGUCUGAACCAGCCAUGCCGCGUGCAGGAUGACGGUCCUAUGGAUUGUAAACUGCUUUUAUACAGGAAGAAACACUCCCUCGUGAGGGAACUUGACGGUACUGUAGGAAUAAGGAUCGGCUAACUCCGUGCCAGCCGCCGCAGUAAGAC
rnacentral:rRNA from 1 species